rnacentral:rRNA from 1 species
UACAGAGGGUGCGAGCGUUAAUCGGAAUUACUGGGCGUAAAGCGCGCGUAGGCGGCUUGUUAAGUCAAAUGUGAAAUCCCCGAGCUUAACUUGGGCAUUGCAUUCGAUACUGGCAAGCUAGAGUAUGGGAGAGGAAGGUAGAAUUCCAGGUGUAGCGGUGAAAUGCGUAGAGAUCAGCAGGAACACCCGUGGCGAAGGCGGCCCCCUGGGCCGUACCCGACGCUGAGGCGCGAAGGCUAGGGGAGCGAACGGG